UACGGAGGGUGCAAGCGUUGUCCGGAUUUAUUGGGUUUAAAGGGUGCGUAGGUGGGGUCUCAAGUCUGGUUUGAAAGCUAGCUGCUCAACAGUUAGACGUCGCUGGAAACUGGGGUGCUGGAAUGGGUUGGCGGCGGCCGGAACGGGUCAUGUAGCGGUGAAAUGCAUAGAUAUGAGCAAGAACACCGAUUGCGAAGGCAGGCAGCUACGACCUGAUUGACACUGAGGCACGAGAGCAUGGGGAGCGAACAGG
rnacentral:rRNA from 1 species